rnacentral:rRNA from 1 species
UACGGAGGAUGCAAGCGUUAUCCGGAAUGAUUGGGCGUAAAGCGUCCGCAGGUGGCUGUGUAAGUCUGCUGUUAAAGAGUGAGGCUCAACCUCAUAAAAGCAGUGGAAACUACACGGCUAGAGUGCGUUCGGGGCAGAGGGAAUUCCUGGUGUAGCGGUGAAAUGCGUAGAUAUCAGGAAGAACACCGGUGGCGAAGGCGCUCUGCUAGGCCGCAACUGACACUGAGGGACGAAAGCUAGGGGAGCGAAUGGG